rnacentral:rRNA from 1 species
AACGAACGCUGGCGGCAUGCCUAACACAUGCAAGUCGAACGAGACCUUCGGGUCUAGUUGCGCACGGGUGCGUAACGCGUGGGAACCUGCCCUUAGGUUCGGAAUAACUCCCCGAAAGGGGUGCUCAUACCGGAUAAUCUCUUCGGACCAAAGAUUUAGCGCCGUUGGAUGGGCCCGCGUUGGAUUAGCUAGUUGGUAGGGUAAACGCCGCCCAAGGCGACGAUCCAUAGCUGGUCUGAGAGGAUGACCAGCCGCACUGGGAAUGCGACAGGGCCCAGCCGCCGACAGGAGGCAGGAGUGGGGCACAUUGGACGAUGGGCGAAAGCCGGAUCCAGGAAUGCCGCGUGAGGGACGAAGGCCUGAGGGCUGCAAAGCUCUGUUACCCGGGAUGAUAAAGACUGUAGCGUGAGAAUAAGCUCCCUCUAUCUCCG